rnacentral:tRNA from 1 species
GCCAAUAUAGUUAAGUGGUAUAACAGAUGCUUUGUAACCAUCUAUCUCCAGUUCGAUUCUGGAUAUUGGCUCCA